rnacentral:rRNA from 1 species
GAUGAACGCUGGCGGCGUGCCUAAUACAUGCAAGUCGAACGAAGAUCUAGCUUGCUAGAUCUUAGUGGCGAACGGGUGAGUAAUACAUAAAUAAUCUGCCCAUAUGACUGGGAUAACUAUUGGAAACGAUAGCUAAUACCGGAUAGGUUGAUCGGAGGCAUCUCUGAUGAAUUAAAGUAGGAUUUCUACACAAAUGGAUGAGUUUAUGGCGCAUUAGUUAGUUGGUGGGGUAACGGCCUACCAAGACGAUGAUGCGUAGCCGACCUGAGAGGGUGACCGGCCACACUGGGACUGAGACACGGCCCAGACUCCUACGGGAGGCAGCAGUGGGGAAUUUUGGACAAUGGGGGCAACCCUGAUCCAGCCAUGCCGCGUGAGUGAAGAAGGCCUUCGGGUUGUAAAGCUCUUUCGGCCGGGAAGAAAUCGCACGGGCUAAUACCCUGUGUGGAUGACGGUACCGGAAUAAGAAGCACCGGCUAACUACGUGCCAGCAGCCGCCGUAAGAC